GUUCGGCCGUGUAUUUAUUCGUUUGCUUGGAUUCCUCGUGGGAUCCUCAAGCAAAUAAAACCCACUGUCACCCGGUCUCAGUGGCCGGGGACGGGGUUUACGUUCUUAGUCCAUUUCCAGGCUGUGAUCCAGUUCCACAUUUUCCCUCCUCCUCUCCCUGAGGUCACGCACUGUGGAGGACAGCAGGAAGUGAGCUCGGAUCAGGCGCGAUGCUCGCAGGUUGGAGGGUUUCGGUGUUAACUCUCAGCUGAUCUGACCUGGAGGAAGCAGCAGCACCAUGAGCGGCACAGCGUGCGGGAGAGUCCUGCACAGGCUGCACACCGCCGGCUGGAGGCUCCGGGCUGAGCCGAGGGCCGGACCCGUCAGAGGGCUGUCGGGGUCGGGCAGGGGCACCAUGAAUGUGUUCAACAGGGAGAUGAAGAAGAGGCAGAAGAACUGGGCCGCCUCUCUGCAGGACGGCCACCAGUACGACUACCUGAGGGACGAGGUUGGAAGCCGGGUGGCUGAUCGGGUCUAUGACAUCGCGAGGACGUUUCCUCUGGCGUUGGACGUGGGCAGUGGGAAGAGUCACAUCGCGGAGCAUUUAAGCAAAGACGUUGUGGAGCGAUUGUUCCUGACAGACAUCUCUGAGAAGACGCUGAAAAAGACUCGACGGAGUGAGAUCCCGACUCACCGCGUUCUGGCUGAUGAGGAGUUUCUGCCGUUCAAAGAAAACACCUUCGACCUGGUGAUGAGCAGCCUGAGCCUGCACUGGAUAAACGACCUGCCCGGAGCCCUCAGACAGAUCCACCAGGUGCUGAAGCCGGACGGGGUGUUCAUCGGGGCGAUGGUGGGCGGGGAGACGCUCUACGAGCUGAGGUGCUCCCUCCAGCUCGCCGAGACCGAGAGGGAGGGAGGAUUCUCCCCCCACAUCUCCCCCUACACGGCCGUCACCGACCUGGGCAACCUGCUGGGCCAGGCUGGCUUCAACAUGCUGACUGUGGACAUUGAUGAAGUUCAGGUUCACUAUCCGGGAAUCAUGGAAGUCAUGACUGACCUACAAGGUAUGGGUGAGAGUAACUGUGCCUGGAACAGGAGGUUGUUGCUGCACAGAGACACCAUGUUAGCAGCAGCAGCCAUUUAUAAAGAGAUGUACGGUAACGAGGACGGGUCCAUUCCUGCCACCUUUGAGAUCCUCUACAUGAUUGGCUGGAAGCCUCACGAGUCACAGGCCAAACCAGCGGCGCGAGGCUCGGCCACCGUGUCUUUCAGGGAUCUGUCAAAGAUCAGCCAGCCGCCCACAGACAAGUCAUAGACCUCUGAUCAUCUGAGCCACAGCACAGCUCUCACACUGCACACUGUUUUUAAAGCACUGUGUUAAACAGAGCUGCUGUUCUGCUGGAAUAAAGCUGAGCUAUAAAAAGAACAUCAUGUUUCCUCUGACAGGAACUUGAAGACGUUCACAGCUAAUGAGGAACUGACUCGGAGACUCGUUUACUCAGAUGAAACUCAGGUUUGGAGGAUAAGAGUGAGACUGCAGGAAGAACUGCCACGGCUCAGGUCUCAGCUGUCGAAGACUCUGCUGUUUGACGCUGCGUUUCUCUUGUUUUGUUUUUGUGUGUGUGCGUGCGUGCGUGCGUGCGUGUGUGUGUGUGUGAGUGACAGGUGAGAGAGGCAACCAGCCAGUCACGUGUUUUAUUCCCAGCCAGCACAGUUAUUAGUCAUACUGGAAGUUCCUCCUUGAUAUAAAACAGGCAGCAUGUUUUUAUCCUGUCACACAGUGUAGAUCCACAGGCUGCAGAGAUGCUUCUUUACCUCUGCCUUCUCUUUGCUGGAUGCCUCUGUCUCAGCUUCACUGACCCUCAGAAAAUGACUGCACUGCAGAACACAGAGGUCACACUCCCCUGUCCUCAUGCAGACGGAGAUGUGUCAUGGAGCCGCUACAGAAAUGGUGAGAAGGUCACGCUGGUCACUGUCACCAACGGCCACGAGCACAGGACUGACCAACGCUACAGUUCCACAGAAAAUAAAGCUCUGGUCAUUGCUAAUGUUCAGAGCUCUGAUUCUACGUGGUACUUGUGUAAUAACAAACCAACAGUGUAUCUGAACGUGACCACAGAUCCCAGCAUGGUGCAUCCUGUCACACCAGGAACCAACAGACUGGGUCCAGGUCUUGGAACGGUUGCAGCAGGAGAUGCUGCCACAGAGAACCAGCAACCCACAGACGGGUGGAAGAUACCCGCUGGUGCAGUCAUCGGUGCUGCUCUGGUGCUUCUGGCCUUUGUAAGCCUGAGAUUCUGCUCAGAGAAGAGAGCGAAGAGAAACACCAGCAGGGACGAAACCGAGUCUGAGGUGAUUUAUGAGGUUAUUAAAGAUGACAACAUGCAGCCAAACAGGGAAUCUGGUGUGGAAAGUCCGUACUACUGGUCGAGCAUCGUGGAAACACCAAACACCUGCAAAUCACCGAAUCCUCAUCUGUACAGCUCUGUUAACAAGCUGAAAACUGAAGGACGCUGUGCUGACAGGUGUGUGUAUUCCCUCGCCCAAACACCACCACAGACAGGAAGCGCCAGUUAAUGAUCACUUCACUGUUUUUGUGAAGCAGCAAAGUUCAGGCUUUUAUUUGUCACACUUGGAGGACUGAUGGAUAAGACUCAUCUCUCCACACAGACACAGAGCAGAAGAGCAUUUUCUUCUUCGUUGUUCAUUUAUGUUUUUCAGAGGUUGAAUCAACAGGUUUCUGGUGCAGAUGCUACAGACACAAAGUCAUGACUCCACUCAGAUCUGAACACCGUAGUAAAACACGGUGUAAGACGGUUGGUUGGUUUUUCAUGGGUUAUGGUAAUGUUACUUAAGUACAAGUAUGUAAGUAUAAUCAGUGAAAUGUAAAGUAUUAAAAUGAAAGGUUUUCAGUGCAGAGCGACGUCAUACUGUUAUAUAUGAUUAGAUUAUUGUUACUUCAUGUGUAAACAGCAUUUUACUGUUGUAGUUGGUUGAGGUGGAGCUGAUUUCUGAUGAGUUUAUAUGAGACUGCAUCUAAUGACACAUUGUGACACAAUGUGAAUUAAUCUUUGGAAUAUUUUCUGGAUGAAUGGAUUGAUUGACUGAUUGAUUGAUUGAUUGAUUGAUUGGUUUGUCGGAAAAUAGUGAGAAAUGUUCGUCACAGUUACCAAGAAGCACGAGUGAGUCGCCUUCAUGUGGCUCGUUGUGUCCAACAAAACUUCAAACUGAUUCAGUUUAUGGAAUUUAACAAGACGAAAAGUCACUUUUGUUAAACAGGAACCAAGAAUAUGACACGAGUUGUUAAAACGGUUCUUUCUGUGAAUGAGUUUCAGUGUGUUAUUAUACUUUUAUACAUUAUUGUGAAACGUAAUUUUUCUUUUUCUUAUAUUUGUUCUCAUUUUGACUUUUUCCAACAUUAGCUUGCUCU